CCUCCGCUCCCACCCGACUCGCUCGCGUCUCCGCCGUCUCCCCGGUGUCCCCUCCCACCCCGCUCCGCCCCCCCCCCCCCGCCCCCCAGCCAGCCGCGUCCUCCCGGGCUCGGUGAGGAACUGUUCCCGGAGGAGCCGCGGGACGCCGAAAGCAGCCAAUGGGAAGAGGCGAGACGCCGAGAUUGGCACCGUGGAUGGGAAGCUCCUUCUGUGGAAAUCUAUCCAGGCCCUAAAGGAAUGGGGGAGGCUAGGCAAGUCAAGGCAUUGUCUACAGAAUGCUGAGCAAAACAUAGAUGUGAGGUGAUCAGCUGGAAAAAAGCAGAGACACAUUGGAAAGUCACACGAAGUGGACAUGGAAAAGGAAGGAAGAGCUAGAUUAAGGUAAGCAUUGGCAUCCAGGCCAAGACAUUUGAAUGUAAUUUGGAAAGUCAGUGUUGCCGAAGGCUGGUAAGGGUGUUAGUCAGAGAUCUCUGGAGAAACAGAACCGAUAGGAUAUGAAUACACACACACAUACACACAUACACACACAUACACAGAAAAAGAGACAGACAGAGGAGUAAUGGUGGGCAUUUGUUUUAAGGAGUCAGCUCUUGUGAAUAUAGAAGUUGGCAAGUUCAAAAUUUGCAGUGCAGGCCAUCAGGCUGGAAAUUCCAGCAGGAGCUGAUAUUGCAGUCUUAAAUCUUAAGGCAGUCCGGAGGCAGUCCUUCUUCAGAGGACCUCAGUCUUUUUCUUAAGUCCUUUACCAGAUUGGAGGAGGCUCACGCACAUUGUGAAGGGUCAGAUCAUCUGCUUUGCUCAAAGUUUGUGGAAUUAAAUUUAACAUCUAACAAUUUCAUAGAAAUUAUUGGUUAGGACAAAGUGGGUUUAUUUAGGUGAAACAGAGUUGAUUUAAAGAAAAUUAUUAAAUAAAUACUGGGUGCAGAUGGUAUAGGGAUAUGUCAA
rnacentral:lncRNA from 1 species